rnacentral:rRNA from 1 species
GACGAACGCUGGCGGCGUGCCUAAUACAUGCAAGUCGAACGCAGUGGGGACGGGUGAGUAACACGUGGGUAACCUCCCAUCAGAGGGGAUAACACUUGGAAACAGGUGCUAAACCGAUACUGAUGGAUGAACCCGCGGUGCAUUAGCUAGUUGGUGAGGUAACGGCUAACCAAGGCCACGAUGCAUAGCCGACCGGGAAGGGUAAUCGGCCAAACGGGGAUUGAGACACGGCCCAGACUCCUACGGGAGUAAGCAGUAGGAAAGCUUCGGCAAGGGACGAAAGUCUGACCGAGCAACGCCGCGUGAGUGAAGAAGGUUUUCGGAUCGUAAAACUCUGUUGUUAGAGAAGCGGUAUCUAACCAGAAAGCCACGGCUAACUACGUGCCAGCAGCCGCGGUAAUUC